rnacentral:rRNA from 1 species
CCCCUUUGGUUCUAGGGGGUUAUUAAAGCUUGAUUCUUUUUUAAUACAUGCUAGUGAAAGCUAACCGGUGAGUGUAACCCUCCCCCUGGGGAGUUUGAGGUAUCAGGUGCUGAGAUGUAAACCCCUCAGAGCCCAAGACACCUAACUUUAAGUCACCCCUUUUCUGCAGCAAAAAAGGGCAUGUUCAGCAGUAGAGAAUAUUGUGCUAUGGGCGUAAGCCUGACACAGAAAAGAAUUUAAAGGUCUGUCCUACCACGUGCCAGCAGACGCGGUUAGACGUGGAGACCAAGUUUUAACAAAACAGUAGGCCCUAAGCGUUCUUCCUACAAUUAAGAGUAGGGUUUAGGUAUUUCCCAUUAGCGAUAAAAUGUAAUAAGGUUAAAGACCACCAACCACGAAAGUGUAAACCUCUUUUAGAUAGAGCGAAAGUAAGGGUAGCUAACAGGAUUAGAGACCCUGGUCGUCCUUACCUUCAACACAGAUCAUAUUCGCCUGAGUAGUACGGUCGCAAGACUAAAAUUCAAAGAACCUGGCUGUUCACGCUACCACUUAGAGGAGUGUGUCUUUUAAUACGAUACUCCACGAGUAACCUUACCUUCUUUAGUUUCAGGUAUUGCAUGGCUGUCGUCAGUUUACUUAUAAAAAGUUAAACACCCUACUAUGUAGAAUGAUGUCAGGUAGUAUGAUCCUCAUAAGAAGGGAAUGAUGCACUACAAUUCAAGGGCAAAUAAACCCUUUGAACGGAGAAAGGCUGAAACGCCUUUCCAAAGCCGAAUUUAAGAGUAAUCGAAAAUCAUCAUGUUUCGUUGAACUGGUUCAGCUGUGAGUACAAAUUGCCCGUCACCUUCUCUGACCAAUGGAAAGAGAAGCAAGUCGUAACAUAGUGAGUGGAAAGGAAUUUCUACUCGACC